UUUAUGGGGCAGAGAGACGAAAUGGAGCAGGUCAU
rnacentral:sRNA from 1 species